GACAGAGGAUGUUCAACUAAAACCACCACGUCCUGUGGCAACGCUGAACCGACCCACGUCGUGUGCG
rnacentral:sRNA from 1 species